rnacentral:rRNA from 1 species
GUAGGGAAUAUUGGGCAAUGGAUGCAAGUCUGACCCAGCCAUCCCGCGUGCCGGAAGAAGGCCCUCAGGGUUGUAAACGGCUUUUGACGGUGAAGAAUCGACAGGAUGCGUCCUGUUUUGACGGUAGCCGUUGAAUAAGCACCGGCUAACUCCGUGCCAGCAGCCACGGUAAUACGGAGGGUGCGAGCGUUGUCCGGAUUUAUUGGGUUUAAAGGGUGCGUAGGCUGGAAGGUCAGUCAGCGGUGAAAAGCUGUCGCUUAACGAUAGUCUUGCCGCAGAUACUUCCUUUCUUGGAUGAGGAGGAGGCCACUGGAACGGAUGGUGUAGCGGUGAAAUGCAUAGAUAUCAUCCAGAACACCGAUUGCGAAGGCAGGUGGCUGUACCUUAAUCGACGCUGAUGCACGAAAGCAUGGGGAGCAAACAGGAUUAGAAACCCCAGUAGUCC